AAUCUGGUUGAUCCUGCCAGUAGUCAUAUGCUUCGUUCAAGGGCUAAGCCAUGCAUGUCUCAGCGCAAACGGUCUCGAACAGUGGGUCUGUGAAUGGCUCCUUACAUCAGCAGUCAUCUGCGUGAUAGAGUGUGCCUAGCACCAACCAUUGGCAGGUGCUCAGAUCGGACAUAUCCUCCAAAACCUUGUGGCUAAUACGCGAUCGCCAAGGUCGGCCAAGUUCAGUUCUUUCUCAACAACCCUGGCUGGGUCCGCGUGUGCUGCCUGGUGCUCUCUGUGGUGCUGGCAGUGCACACCAGCUGGGUGUUUGGCCGAUUGCGCCCAGCCGAUAUGAAGACCAGCGUCCUGUGCAAGGACAGUGUGUUCCGUUCGGAUGAUUCAGGCUGGUCCCUCUCUUUGUGGACAGUGCGCUGGCAGAGUGUUUGAAUGGGACCAGUGGCCUCGUGUCACUGGACACCCAGAGCCGUGCUUGAUCACAGGAACUUCUGACCUAUCAGCUUGGACUGUGGUGUCGUGGACCACAGUGGCCUUGACGGGUAACGGAGAAUCAGGGUUCGAUUCCGGAGAGGGAGCCUGAGAAACGGCUACCACUACCAAGGUGGGCAGCAGGCGCGGAAAUUGCCCAAUCCAAAAGCCUAUCGUGGGAGGCAGCGACGAACUGCAGCAAUCCUGCUGGCUUCAACAUGCCAGUGGGACUUGGAAUGGAUGCAAUCCAAACACAGUGAUGAGUAUCAACUGGAGGGCAAGUCUGGUSCCAGCAGCCGAGGUAAUUCCAGCUCCAAGAGCAUAUACUGACAUUGCUGCUGUUAAAACACUUGUAGUCUGCCACUGGGUUGCAGGUCUGCCGAGUGGCCGGCGGGUGGCGUGUUCGCUCCCACUCUCUCAACCACUUCUGUGUGUUGCGGAAGAGUGUGGUGUGGCGCGUCUCUCUGCUGGGUCGAAACCCUCGGUGGUAUGUCCCUGCGCCCGAUUGACCAGUGACGGUGAGAACUGCUCUUGCCAAAAGCCUCCUUCAGUGGAGGCCAAGGCGGUGAUUGCCUCCAACGCCGGCGUCCUGUUGUGACCAUCCAUGGUGGGACAGGGCCCUCUGUGGUCCUGCAGAUUCAACACACCCCACCGGUCCACCACCAGAGCCCACCGUCAAUUGACACCGUGGAAAACUCAGUGUGCUCAAAGCGACCUGCCGAUGGCUGAAUGCCUGUCCAUGGAAUGUCAGAGCAUCGACCGAGUGUGGCCAAAUCUGGAGUUGUGCUGGGCCUUGGAGCCCACUCAGGGCAAUGUGGUGCAUGGUCCUUCUUCUCUCCUUCUCCUUGGGUUCUUUUGCUCCUCUCUGUGUCUCUCCGCGCGCUGCUGUGACCUGAUCACAGCACGUCGUUGUGGGAUCACAGGUGAGUGUGUGAUUGGCCCUUGGGGAGCCUUGGAGGAUGUCAAGUGGUCAGGAGCAUCGAACGGAGACGAUGGGACCGAUCGCGGAGCNAAAGGUAUUGCAGCGCCAGAGGUGAAAUUCUUAGAUCGCCGCAGGACCAACUGCAGCGAAGGCGUUCUGCAAGUGCGUGUUCGUCGAUCAAGAAUGAGAGUCUGGGGAGCAAAGAUGAUCAGACACCGUCGUAGUCCAGCACCGUAAACUGUGCCGGCUCGGCAUUGGCAGAGGAUCGCAUUCUUGUUCCUACCCUGCCAGUGCCAUGCCCCCCGCAACGAGAAAUCCACAGCCUGUGGGUUCAGGGGGGAGUACGUUCGCAAGGCUGAAACUUAAAGGAAUUGACGGAAUGGCACCACAAGGCGUGGAGUAUGCGGCUUAAUUUGACUCAACACGGGGAACGUUACCAGGUCAGGACACAGCUGGGAUGGACAGAUUGAGAGCUCUUUCUUGAUCCUGUGGACGGUGGUGCAUGGCCGCUCCUGAUUGGUGGAGUGAUUUGUCUGGUUGAUUCCGAUAACGAGUGAGACAUCUGCCUCUCAAUAGCCUCAGGCUCGCAUAUGGUAGGGUUUGGCCCUUGGGUUGCCUGUCACCCACUUUUGGGUUGCGCACGCAAGUGUGUGAUCCAGAAUGUUGUGGUGGAGCGUGUGCGCCCAUGUCUUUGGCUCCCGAGAGCCUCGAAGAUCAUCAGCUUCUCUGAGGUGCUGUGUUCGCUGCCAAGAGCACGCAUGCUAGAGCCAACAGCAGGUCUGUGAUGCUCCCAGAUGUCCUGGGCUGCACGCGCACUACAUUGACUCGGUGAAGGUGUCUCCUUUCCAGCUCACCAGCUUCGUGUGAGCCCUGUUCAGAAAUGAAUGGGAAAUCCUCCAAAUCCGAGCCGUGCUGGGGAUAGAUGAUUGCAACUGUCUGCCUUGAACGUGGAAUGCCUAGUAUGCCUGGGUCAUCAGCCCAGACAGACUGUGUCCCUGCCAUUUGUACACACCGCCCGUCGUUGCURCCGAUGAUAGCUGGAUAGAGUCAUCAGGAGGUCACGGUCACACUUGCCAAAUUCUUUUUGGCAGAGACCCCAGCUGAAAUUGGACGAUGUCCAGCUGUUAGAGGAAGCAAAAGUCGUAACAAGGUUGCUGUAGGUGAACCUGCAGAAGGAUCA
rnacentral:rRNA from 1 species